AUCUCCUAGAGAACUUGUUAAAAUGCAGAUUCUGAUUCAGUAGAUUCUGCAUUUCCAGCAAGCUCUCAGAUGCUGCCAA
rnacentral:pre_miRNA from 1 species